GUUGUACUCUUUAGGAGCAAGAUUGCUGUGCUCUUAGGAGCACGAAGGUUUCCGUGCUUUUGAAUUAUUUUCGAUGAUGAAAUUUUCGAAUUGACGAUUGGCUCCGUUAGACUUGAUCUGGCGUAUUUAAAGUUUUUGGAAAAUAAUUUUUGCGAUUUUUCGAUAUCAUUUACCCAGUGAUCAAAAGAGUUCAAAAUCAAAAAUAUUUAAUGGUUGAUGUCUACCGUUCUCAAGUUUAAUAGUGUGGAAGUAUUCAAAUCAGAUAAAAUUUUAAUACAAAAUUCUUUAUACUAUUCACAACAAGAUCAAUAUCUCUGAUAAAAAGUUUUAAUGUUAUAUCAACACCUUUUAUAAGAUUUUUAUUUUCAAUCGUUGAUGUUAAAUCCUUUCGAUUGUUAGGUAAAUGAUAUAGAAAAGCCGCAAAAAUUAUUUUUUAAAUACUUUAAAUAUGCUAGAUCAAGUCUAAUAGAGUCGAUCGUCGAUUCGAAAAUUUUAUUAUUAAAGACGAUUAAGAAGCACGAAAACCUCCGUACUCAAGAGCACAACAUUCUUGCUCUAUCAAAUAGAUACUUGCAUAAUCUUGUUUUGCUUUCCUUUAACAUAGCAGUUAAAUAGUUUAUUGUGAUUUGUUGCUCCAUGUAUGUUUUUCUAUUUACAGCUGAAUCUGAAGGAUAAGAUGAUAUUUAGUAUCUCUUAAUCUAACAUCACUAAUUUUAUUUUAAAAAAUUUAAUUUAUUAUAAAAAAUAUUAUAGUUUUAUAUUCAAUUAAUUGGUUAAAAAGAAGUAUAAAAUUUUGAUUUUAGGCUAUAAAUAAAUUAUGUUGCAUAAUUCUAUAGAGUAAGUGCAUUCUCUAGAACAAUACUUUUAGAGACAAUGUAACAUACUAGAUUUUGGUAUAAAAAUAAAAAAUAAAUAAAAAUAGUUUGAGAAACUAUUUUUAUUGAAUUUAGAUAAGUAAAAUAUAAGUCAGAAAUGACUUGUGUUGAAAUCAGAAUGAAAACAGAAAAUUUAGAAUUUUCUGUUGGAAACGGGACAAAUAAAUUAGCAGAAAAUGUAUAGUGUCAGAAAAUUAUGAAAACUGGAGGAUAAGUCAGAAUUAUUUUUAUGACGCUAGAUUUAAAGUUUUAUAUCAUUCUGACACCCGGAAGGUGGAAAAUAAAAUCCGACAGCUAUCUGAUAAAGAUUACAGUUCGGUACAAUUUUCGAUGACCAAAUAGAGUCGAAACUGAGAUAUUAAAAUUUCUUUGGACUCGUUAAGUAAAACCGAGAAUGACUACCAAAUUUGAGCUCAAACGGAUAUUCAGGGAGCUCCGACGAAAGAUAUCAGAUUUUGACCUGCCGGGAGAUGAAUAGUGUUUUGGGGUGUAAUUAUAAAUGAAGCAAUUUGUUU
rnacentral:lncRNA from 1 species